GUCUACGGCCACACCACCCUGAACGCGCCCGAUCUCGUCUGAUCUCGGAAGCUAAGCAGGGUCGGGCCUGGUUAGUACUUGGAUGGGAGAAAUGAAGUUAAGAAAUAUUAUGAGAUUAAUGAAAAUUUGUAGGUA
rnacentral:rRNA from 1 species